AAUGUAUAGAAAUCAUACAUAUACCAAAAAGACUGUACAUCACUGUCACAACAGGGUUUGUUUUCAUUCAAAGGCUUUAUGGCUUUAAUACCUGGUGGGUCGGUCUGUAGUCAAAAUGCCCGAUUUUCUGUCCCAGUCCAGCCCUGCAGGUUAUACUGGCAGUGUCACCAUGCCAGCUGAAUGUAUUUCAUCAUCAGCCAGUGUUGUUCUUUAUCAAUAUUACCAAAGUUUACCAUAAGGCAGCAUAGAAAGUAUUUACUUGCUUUCAGGUUUUAUUCAAAUAUUAGUCUUUUCAGUUGUUUCUCCACUUUUUUCCUGUUUCAAAAUCAAACACCAGUUUGUGAGAAGAUUAUCUUCUUUUUUUAACAGGCAGAGAAAGUUUUGCAUUGGAAUGGCUAAUUUGUCAAUUGUUUGCUACAAAUGUUCGUAUUUUAAUAUUCAAAAAUGUUUUUGCCCAAAACAUAUGUGCAGUAUAUGUCAGUAAAAAUACUAUGCAAAUAUUGCUGUCCUUGAAUGCUGAGUAAACACUGACAAAGCACUGAUUGUAUCUCUUGUACUUUAUCAACGCAGUAUCUAAAAACUUUGCACCGUAGUGGUUAAAAUCUCAUUCUAAUAAGAGUUAAAAGUGCAUUUGGUUAUUAGGUUUAUAGGAUUAUUGAAUUAUGGUUAAGGGUUGAAAACAGCGAUGUCUGAGUCAGACGAGGAGCGUGGUACUUUCCGCACCAGCAAGAACACUGAGGGGGCAAAUACGACUCCUAAUAGCCCCAAGGGGGUUAUGGUGACACUACCUUGCUUCUCUUGGUGUCCCAAAAUAUGCAGCCCAAACGGUCACGCCAUCUUCUGGAUUUGUUUUUUUGUUUUUUUUGGUUGUGCAAUAGUUGGUGGUAUUUGGUUAGGGGUAUGGUUAUGUAAAAGUAAAGGUCAGGUUGCCCCGUCGGACGACGAGGACCCUAAUUGCCGUUUCUCAAAAGCUGCAGUGGCCGCAGACUCCGAGAAUUGUUCGGAGAUUGGAAAGUGAGUAACAUUUGAAACUUUUGAUACAUUUUUUUUUCACAUUACACAUACGAUUAUGCACUGAUCCAAAUGCAAACGCUAAAAAAUCUCCAAGAACUGCGAACAUAUGGGCUCAAAUUGUGGUCAUAAAUAUUUUGUACUUGUAAAUCAGGAUUUGUAUGUGUAAAAAGAAUUUGUGUGUGCCUUAGUGAUGUGUCAGUUGUGAACGAAAUGGCUCUUAGAGCCGGGUCUUUGACGUGAACGACGCAAGCCGGCUCCUUAUCGCGAGCCUCCCAGUCCUACUGCCAGUUUCUGGAAGACACCUUCUUCAAGCAGUGGUACAGGAAGAAGUCUGCAUCCU
ensembl:lncRNA